UUGGAGGGCAAGUCUGGUGCCAGCAGCCGCGGUAAUUCCAGCUCCAAUAGCGUAUAUUAAAGUUGUUGCAGUUAAAAAGCUCGUAGUUGAAUUUCGGGAUCAAUGGAUUGGUCAUGCCGUUGGUAUGUACUGAUUUUAUUGAUUCUCACCUUCUAAAGAAUCAUAAUGCCAUUAAUUUGGUGUUGUGAGGAAUUAGGACUGUUACCUUGAAAAAAUUAGAGUGUUUAAAGCAGGCUUACGCUUGAAUACAUUAGCAUGGAAUAACGAAAUAGGACAUCGCAUUCUAUUUUGUUGGUUUCUAGGAUCGAUGUAAUGAUUAAUAGGGAUAGUUGGGGGCAUUAGUAUUCAAUUGUCAGAGGUGAAAUUCUUGGAUUUAUUGAAGACUAACUACUGCGAAAGCAUUUGCCAAGGAUGUUUUCAUUAAUCAAGAACGAAGGUUAGGGGAUCGAAGACGAUCAGAUACCGUCGUAGUCUUAACCAUAAACUAUGCCGACUAGGGAUCGGAUGAUGUUAAUUUUUUAAUGACUCAUUCGGCACCUUACGGGAAAC
rnacentral:rRNA from 1 species